rnacentral:rRNA from 1 species
AACGGCCGUACCAUGCUGAUUAUACCGGUUCUCGUUAGAUCACCGAAAUCAAGCAUCAUUGGGCGCGUUCAGUACUUCGGUACCUGGGAACACCGAGUGCCGUU